rnacentral:rRNA from 1 species
UACGUAGGGGGCUAGCGUUGUCCGGAAUCAUUGGGCGUAAAGCGCACGUAGGCGGCCCGGUAAGUCCGUUGUGAAAGUCAGAGGCUCAACCUCUGGAGGCCAAUGGAUACUGCCGGGCUAGAGUCCGGAAGAGGCGAGUGGAAUUCCUGGUGUAGCGGUGGAAUGCGCAGAUAUCAGGAGGAACACCAAUGGCGAAGGCAGCUCGCUGGGACGGUACUGACGCUGAGGUGCGAAAGCGUGGGGAGCAAACAGG